rnacentral:misc_RNA from 1 species
AGUCGUAACAAGGUUUCCGUAGGUGAACCUGCGGAAGGAUCAUUACAGUGCGUGGACGCGCCCCCCGGGCAUCCCCCGCGGGGCGCGCUCCUCCCACCCGUGUCUACCGAACCUCAGUUGCCUCGGCGGGCCGCCGGUCCCGGCCACCGGGGGCCUCUGCGCCCCGGGUGCGUGCCCGCCGAUGGGACCCCUGAACCCUCCUGUGGAACAGUCUGUCUGAGUGGGAUAUCAAAUCGAACAAAACUUUCAACAACGGAUCUCUUGGUUCCAGCAUCGAUGAAGAACGCAGCGAAAUGCGAUAAGUAAUGUGAAUUGCAGAAUUCCGUGAAUCAUCGAAUCUUUGAACGCACAUUGCGCCCCCUGGUAUUCCGGGGGGCAUGCCUGUCCGAGCGUCAUUGCAACCCCUCAAGCCCGGCUUGUGUGUUGGGUCAUCGCCCCCCGAGGGCGGGCCCGAAAUGCAGUGGCGGCGCCGCGUCCGGUGUCCGAGUGCAUGGGAAUCCCUCCGCGCUCAAGGGCCCGGCCGGCAGCCGGCCGUCAGACCUCUCUCUCUCGGUUUGACCUCGGAUCAGGUAGGAGUACCCGCUGAACUUAAGCAUAUCAAUAA